rnacentral:rRNA from 1 species
GAUGAACGCUGGCGGCGUGCUUAACACAUGCAAGUCGAACGGAAAGGCCGAAGCUUGCUUCGGUACUCGAGUGGCGAACGGGUGAGUAACACGUGGGUGAUCUGCCCUGUACUUCGGGAUAAGCUUGGGAAACUGGGUCUAAUACCGGAUAUGACGAUCUCUUGGAUGGGGUUGUGGAAAGCUUUUGCGGUAUGGGAUGAGCUCGCGGCCUAUCAGCUUGUUGGUGGGGUGAUGGCCUACCAAGGCGUCGACGGGUAGCCGGCCUGAGAGGGUGUACGGCCACAUUGGGGCUGAGAUACGGCGCAGACUCCUACGGGGGGCAGCAGUGGGGAAUAUUGCACAAUGGGCGCAAGCCUGAUGCAGCGACGCCGCGUGGGGGAUGACGGCCUUCGGGUUGUAAACUCCUUUCGCAAUCGACGAAGCCUUUUGGUGACGGUAGGUUGAGAAGAAGCACCGGCUAACUACGUG